UGAGGGAUAUUGCACAAUGGGCGCAAGCCUGAUGCAGCGACGCCGCGUGGAUGAAGAAGGCCUUCGGGUCGUAAAAUCCUUUUGCGCGUGACGAGAUAGGACGGUAGCGCGCGAAUAAGUCUCGGCUAACUACGUGCCAGCAGCCGCGGUAAAACGUAGGAGACGAACGUUAUCCGGAGUUACUGGGCGUAAAGGGCGUGCAGGCGGCCUGAUAAGUCUGGCGUGAAAUUUUUCGGCUUAACCGGGAGAAUGUCGUCGGAGACUGUCGGGCUAGAGGGUGAUAGAGGCGUGUGGAAUUCCGGGUGUAGUGGUGAAAUGCGUAGAGAUCCGGAGGAACACCAGUGGCGAAGGCGACACGCUGGGUCAUACCUGACGCUAAUACGCGACAGCAUGGGGAGCAAACGGGAUUAGAUACCCUCGUAGUCCCUGAGCGGGCUGGCAAGGCGCAU
rnacentral:rRNA from 1 species